GUCCACGCUGUAAACGAUGAACACUAGGUGUCGUGGGUAUUGACCCCGCGGUGCCGCAGCUAACGCAUUAAGUGUUCCGCCUGGGAAGUACGGUCGCAAGACUAAACUCAAAGGAAUUGACGGGCCCGCACAAGCGGUGGAGCAUGUGGUUUAAUUCGACGCAACGCGCAGAACCUUACCUGGGCUGGAAAGUCAUCGGAAGCUUGGUGAAAGCCGAGUGUGCCCGCAAGGGAGCCGGUGGACAGGUGCUGCAUGGCUGUCGU
rnacentral:rRNA from 1 species